GACAGAGGGUGCAAACGUUGUUCGGAAUUACUGGGCGUAAAGCGAGUGUAGGCGGUUUGGUAAGUCAGAUGUGAAAGCCCUGGGCUCAACCCAGGAAGUGCAUUCGAUACUGUCAAGCUAGAGUAUCGGAGAGGUUGGUGGAAUUCUCGGUGUAGAGGUGAAAUUCGUAGAUAUCGAGAGGAACACCGGUGGCGAAGGCGGCCAACUGGACGAAUACUGACGCUGAGACUCGAAAGCGUGGGGAGCAAACAGG
rnacentral:rRNA from 1 species